CCAAAACAUUUUGACGGCCAAACUCACCAUCAGAGGAACUCGUCUAUUAAUUGUCACCACCCAUUAAUUUUCACUUUAUCAAAAAACCUUUAUACCGCCGUUAAAUUGCCUUUACAAAAAUCCAAUAAAAAAGAAAUAUUUCUAAAUUUUCAGGUCAAGGUGAAGUAAAUGAUAAAGAUUAGAUAAGUUACAUUUAAAAAAAAUUUAAAGAAAGCAUUUUCAAAAAAAUUCAUGAAAAAGGAUUUGACAGUACUUUCAUUUUUAAUAAAAACAAUAAAAGAAUUUCCCUAUUGGUGUACAUAUCGCCCGUCACCCUCCUUAAAAAAUGAGGUAAGUCGUAACACAGUUGAAACAUUGGAAAAUGUUUCAAGAGAAACCAUUAAGCAUAUUUUAGCAAUUCAUUUACACUGAAAA
rnacentral:rRNA from 1 species